rnacentral:lncRNA from 1 species
AUGUUAGUAAGUGGUUUUAUGUCUAUAGAGGUUCAUGGUAUGCAGGAAAUAUCUAGUCUAGACUGUAUUCAAAGUUGUGUCAGUCUGCUGGCCCCAGUAUCUUACUUUCUACGGUUACAGAUGGACAGUGGUGUCACAAUUAGGAAUGGCUUCCCUGGUGGAUAUCAGAUAUCCAUCAUCCAAGAUCACAUCAGCCUAGUACUUCUGUUAUCAACAAUGAUGAUGAACAAUAAAAUAACUACCCUUAACUUAGAUUUUCCCAUGCUUCUAAACAAAAAUUUGCAGAUAUUUGCUGCUUGAGGCUUCUUAUAUCCACACUGGAAUUCAGCAGGGGAAAUAAGGUAAGGAUCUUACCUGACACAGAUGGAAGUCUGGAACCAAGUGUGCUCCUUUUCAUUGGCUGUGAUUAAGUGCCCAUGGAUUCAUCACCAGGCCAGUGAUCAGAGGACAAUUACCAGGAACAAAAGGCAAGUAAUCAUAGGAUAAUAAAAUGAAUCAUGUAAUGGAAAGGUCA